GAUGAAGAACGCAGCGAAAUGCGAUAAGUAAUGUGAAUUGCAGAAUUCAGUGAAUCAUCGAAUCUUUGAACGCACAUUGCGCCCGCCAGUAUUCUGGCGAGCAUGCCUGUUCGAGCGUCAUUUCAACCAUCAAGCCCCAGGCUUGUGUUGGAGCCCUGCGGCUGCCGCAGCCUCCCAAAACCAGUGGCGGGCUCGCUAUCACACCGAGUGCAGUAGUUUACUCUUCGCUCAGGGCGUGUGGCGGGUGCUAGCCGUAAAACCCCCAACUUCUCAAGGUUGACCUCGGAUCAGGUAGGAAUACCCGCUGAACUUAAGCAUAUCAAUAAGCGGAGGA
rnacentral:misc_RNA from 1 species